UUGAUUAUGUGCUUAUCAGCUGUGGAUAUUCGAUGUCUUGAUUCUCAGAUAUUCACAUCUGAUUUAUAUUUAAGAUUUUACAUAAAAUUUUUAUUACAUUAUUUAUAUAAUUAAUUUAUUAGUUUAUAAUCAUGUUUAAGAUUAUAAAUAGUUUUUUCGUGAAUUUAGAAUUUAGUUAGAUAAUAUAUAAUUGCUAAAAAAUAAGUUUUAUGAAUUUUUGAGAUUUAAUAUAAAUAUUUUAGAAAAAUUAAAGUUGUGAAGAUUGACAUUAGAUAUGAAAAUCCGAGAAUGGUGUGGUCGGAUGUCGAAGAACGGUGAGAUCCGAUUCGUCCUUUUGCAUAUUUGUAUUUUUCUUCUUUUUUUCCAUUAAUGUUUGCUGCAAAAUGUAUUGAUUUAUAGAUGUUCCAACAUUAAGAACUUUUCAAAAGGUCUUUAGUAAAUUCUGAUGUUCAGUGAUUGAGUUACUUGUCUUCAACUACAGAGUCUACAAUGAAAUUAACGUUAAGAUUUAGUGGUUUUUAGUUGACAUACCCAAUGCUUUCUUGAAUUGGGUUUAUCCCGCUUCAAGUGUAGUGCUGGUGCUUAGAUAUUUUUUUUUUUCUGUGUUGAUUUCAGAGUGAUGGAGAGACUUUCUUUUCCUGCCGGUGUCUAUGAAGACUGUGUCGGUGAACUGGUGGAUGAGGAUGUCCUUUGUGUUGUGUGCCGAAGAAGCAAUGGAAAGAAAAGAACAGAGGAAGAGGAAAGCUAGAAGAAUAAGUGCUCUGUGUACAAAAGAAAAAAAGAAGAAGGGGAAAGCAGAGGGAAUGAAGAAAUGAUAUCCGAGUGAAUAUUAAUGCACCAGUCACAAUGUUGCUGCUGCUGUAAUUAAAAAAAAUCUUUGACCAAGCUUAAUUUUUUUAUUUUUUAAAUAUUAAAAACGUUUUAAUUACAGAUAAUACGGGAAUUUUGUAGAAGUUUGGAGGUGCAGGAUGAAGUGAUUGGAGGUGUAGGAUGAAACAACCCGAUCUAAAUUAACCAUUCCGUAGUUUCUUUAUGAACCUCCAUAAUUUCAACCUACACUUAUAAAUUCAAAAUUUUCAAAUUUA